GAUGAACGCGGCGGCGCGCCUAACACAUGCAAGUCGAACGAUUAAAGCACCUUCGGGUGUGUAUAAAGUGGCGAACGGCUGAGUAACACGUGGGCAACCUGCCCCUCUCAUUGGGAUAGCCACGGGAAACCGUGGAUAAUACCGAAUACUUCGGGACUUCCGCAUGGAAGACUCGAGAAAGCUCCGGCGGAGAGGGAUGGGCCCGCGGCCUGUUAGCUUGUUGGUGGGGUAACGGCCUACCAAGGCAAUGAUGGGUAGCUGGGUUGAGAGACCGACCAGCCAGAUUGGGACUGAGACACGGCCCAGACUCCUACGGGAGGCAGCAGUGGGGAAUCUUGCACAAUGGGCGAAAGCCUGAUGCAGCGACGCCGCGUGCGGGAUGAAGGCCUUCGGGUUGUAAACCGCUUUCAGCAGGGACGAGGCGAAAGUGACGGUACCUGCAGAAGAAGCCCCGGCUAACUACGUGCCAGCAGCCGCGGUAAUACGUAGGGGGCAAGCGUUAUCCGGAUUCAUUGGGCGUAAAGCGCUCGUAGGCGGUCUGUUAGGUCGGGAGUUAAAUCCGGGGGCUCAACCCCCGUUCGCUCCCGAUACCGGCAGACUUGAGUUUGGUAGGGGAAGGUGGAAUUCCUAGUGUAGCGGUGGAAUGCGCAGAUAUUAGGAAGAACACCAGUGGCGAAGGCGGCCUUCUGGGCCAUAACUGACGCUGAGGAGCGAAAGCUAGGGGAGCAAACAGG
rnacentral:rRNA from 1 species